CUUCGUUUAAAAACAAUACCAGACUAACUUUUUUCUGAUGAAAUCAAUAAUCGAUCUUGGAUGCAAGUAUAAAGAGACUUUCCUCAUCCUUCGUUCAGUUUAUUGAUUUCCUGUAAAUUCACUCAUUUUUGUCAAUUGCUUUUAUGUAACUUCAAAUUCGAGUUUCUUAAUCGUGAAUUCGUGAUUUCAAGUUCUCCUCAAACUCUGUUAUUUUAUGGAUUCGAUGUGGUGAAGGUGAAUACACACAACAUGGAUGGGAAGAAGAAGAAGAAUAAGUGAAAAGAUCUAGUUUUGUUGAGGAAGAAGCUGAUAAGAAGUAUCAUCAUUGGCUUGAUAGCAUGAAGAAGAGGGAAAUCGGCAGUUAUUAAAGGUAGUGGUGGUG